GAUGAACGCUGGCGGCGUGCCUAAUACAUGCAAGUCGAGCGAACAGACGAGGAGCUUGCUCCUCUGAUGUUAGCGGCGGACGGGUGAGUAACACGUGGAUAACCUACCUAUAAGACUGGGAUAACUUCGGGAAACCGGAGCUAAUACCGGAUAACAUGUUGAACCGCAUGGUUCAACAGUGAAAGACGGUCUUGCUGUCACUUAUAGAUGGAUCCGCGCCGCAUUAGCUAGUUGGUAAGGUAACGGCUUACCAAGGCAACGAUGCGUAGCCGACCUGAGAGGGUGAGCGGCCCAAGUGGAACGGAGAAACGGCCCAGAACCCUAGGGGAGGCAGCAGUAGGGAAUCUUACGCAAUGGGCGAAAGCCUGACGGGGAAACGCCGGGGGGGUAAAGAAGGUCUUCGGAUGGUAAAACUCUUUUAUUAGGGAAAAAAAAAGGGGAAAGUAACUAGGAACGUCUUGACGGUACCUAAUAAAAAAGCCACGGCUAACUAGGU
rnacentral:rRNA from 1 species